rnacentral:rRNA from 1 species
CUAUGCGCCUUGCCAGCCCGCUCAGUCAGAGUUUGAUCCUGGCUCAGGAUGAACGCUAGCGGCAGGCCUAAUACAUGCAAGUCGAACGGAUAUGAGGACUUCGGUUCUCAUGUUAGUGGCGCACGGGUGCGUAACGCGUAUGCAACCUACCUUUUAUUGGGGGAUAGCCCGUCGAAAGACGGAUUAAUACCGCAUAACACUAUUUGAGGGCAUCUGAGGAUAGUUAAAGCUAAGGCGAUAAGAGAUGGGCAUGCGUGCCAUUAGCUAGUUGGUUGAGGUAACGGCUCACCAAGGCGACGAUGGCUAGGGGUUCUGAGAGGAUGAUCCCCACACUGGUACUGAGAUACGGACCAG